CAAUGCUGUUCUUUCAUCAUGUCUCUUUUGUAUCAUGUUUUACAUGACAGUAUUGUCUGUCUGUGUCAAAUAUACCAUAUUGAUCCAAAUAUCAGAUGGCUUUCUGUUCUGGAAAUAGGCCUGAAAUAGUGGGAUUGUCUUCUUUCUCAGCAACAA